rnacentral:rRNA from 1 species
UACGAAGGUCCCGAGCGUUAUUCGGAAUCACUAGGCGUAAAGGGAGCGUAGGCGGCGUGGAAAGUCAGAUGUGAAAUCCCGGGGCUCAACCCCCGGAACUGCAUCCGAUACUACCAUGCUAGAGUAUUGGAGGGGUAACUGGAAUUCUCGGUGUAGCAGUGAAAUGCGUGGAUAUCGAGAGGAACACUCGUGGCGAAAGCGAGUUACUGGACAAUGACUGACGCUGAGGCUCGAAGGCUAGGGGAGCAAAAGGG